GAUGAACGCUGGCGGCGUGCUUAACACAUGCAAGUCGAACGGUGAACGAGGGAGCUUGCUCCCUCCGGAUCAGUGGCGAACGGGUGAGUAACACGUGAGCAAUCUGCCUUGGACUCUGGGAUAAGCGUUGGAAACGACGUCUAAUACCGGAUACGAGACGCGAAGGCAUCUUCAGCGUCUGGAAAGAACUUCGGUCCAGGAUGAGCUCGCGGCCUAUCAGGUAGUUGGUGAGGUAAUGGCUCACCAAGCCUACGACGGGUAGCCGGCCUGAGAGGGUGACCGGCCACACUGGGACUGAGACACGGCCCAGACUCCUACGGGAGGCAGCAGUGGGGAAUAUUGCACAAUGGGCGCAAGCCUGAUGCAGCAACGCCGCGUGAGGGACGACGGCCUUCGGGUUGUAAGCCUCUUUUAGCAGGGAAGAAGCGAAAGCGACGGUACCUGCAGAAAAAGCACCGGCUAACUACGUGCCAGCCGCCGCCGUAAGAC
rnacentral:rRNA from 1 species